rnacentral:rRNA from 1 species
CCCGGAGACGCCGUCGGGAGAUGUGGGCAGAGUUUUCUGUUCUGUAUGAGCGUUCGAGUUCCCUGGAAUCCUCUAGCAGUGAGAUAGGGUUUGGAACGCGUAGAGCACCGCAUUUGCUGCGGUGUCCGCAUCGUCCCCUCGGCCCUUGAAAAUCCGGGAGAGGGCCACGUGG